UCCCAAAAUUGGGAGUCUGGUCGAUCAAGGAACAAGCAGGGGGCGACAUCCCCCAUUUCCAAACCCUAACUCAAGCAAAUCUCUAAAUUGAAGCCUCAAAUCAGCCCUAAAUCAAGUCUUGAACACGAAUUAGUGAUCCCCUUGUAGUGAGGAUCACAAAGGCAAAGAGUCCGGUUCAUCUAGCGGACAAGCCGGAGGGAAUUCACGAGGAAAAGACGCGCUCUAAAGUUUUCAGGUACUCAAGUGAAGGAUGAUGAUCAAGCAUAACUAUCCGAACCGAACACUCUAGCAAACGCUUCCGCAUAUGAUCUUUUGUUCUAAAAACUAUGUAAACUAUUGUAGUUAAUAUCUUGAUUAUGAUUUCGUAAGAACUAUACAUGUAUGUUGUGUUUAGUUUUGGGUUAAAAUGAUGAAAGUUUUUGUUAAGUCGUCAUUUUGGCGUUAAA